rnacentral:rRNA from 1 species
CCAGCAGCCGCGGUAAUUCCAGCUCCAAGAGUGUAUAUUACAGUUGUUGCGGUUAAAAAGCUCGUAGUUGGACUUUGGGUUGGAUUGCACCGGUCUGGGUUUCCCAGGCCAGCAUUUCCUUCCUUUUCUUUAGAACGUUGCCGUUAGCUCAUACCUGCGGGUGUGGGUUGCGGGUUUUGUAGGGUUUACUUUGAAAAAAUUAGGGUGUUUAAAGCAGGCGCAUCGCCUUGAAUACAUUAGCAUGGGAUAAUAGAAUAUGACCUUUGGUCUAUAAUUUAUUGGUUUCUAAGGCCGAGGUAAUGAUUAACAGGGACAGUUGGGGUCGCUUGUAUUCAGUGGUCAGAGGUGAAAUUCUAAGACCCACUGAGGACAAACAAAUGCGAAGGCAUUCGACAAGGAUGUUUUCAUUAAUCAAG